rnacentral:rRNA from 1 species
GACGAACGCUGGCGGCGUGCUUAACACGUGCAAGUGGAGCGACGAACCAGGGCUUGCCCUGGGGCAAAGCCGCGAACGGGUGAGUAACACGUGGGUAACCUGCCCCGAUGACCGGGACAACCCGAGGAAACUCGGGCUAAUACCGGAUGUGGAACCCUCGCCUAAGUGAGGUUUCCAAAGGUAGCUUCGGCUUCCGCAUCGGGAGGGGCCCGCGGCCUAUUAGCUUGUUGGUGAGGUAAUGGCUUACCAAGGCUUCGGUGGGUAGCUGGUCUGAGAGGACGACCAGCCACACUGGGACUGAGACACGGCCCAGACUCCUACGGGAGGCAGCAGUGGGGAAUCUUGCGCAAUGCGCGAAAGCGUGACGCAGCAACGCCGCGUGGGGGAAGAAGGCCUUCGGGUUGUAAACCCCUUUCAGGAGGGACGAAGGUCACCGGGUUAAUAGCCCGUGUGACUGACGGUACCUCCAGAAGAAGCCCCGGCUAACUACGUGCCAGCCGCCGCUGUAACAC